AUUUUAUAUUGUUGUCCAUUGAUCUGGUUGUUGUUCUAGCUUCCAUGGUCACUUGGUCUGUUAUUCUUCGUAGCAUUUCAUUGAUAACCUUUUCUAACUAUGACGAUUCAGAUAGAUUGUGGGUAUAAAUCAUAAUUACAUGAUGCUUUCAGGUUUUUCACCUGAUCUUUCUUCAUAUGAUGAACACCAGGUUAUGAAUGUUAAAAUGCCUUUCUUGUUUAGGUUUGCGCACCCUAUGUUAGCCCAUCAAUAGUUCCGAUUGGAUAUGGUAUUGCACAGUCAGGUGUACCACGCCUAUACAGGAGUAUCUUUUGAAGGUUUGAAUCAUGGUUAUUGCUUCACAUAUUGCACAGUGUUUGCUAUCGAGGGCCCAUCAGCAGUUUGACAGCGUUACAAUAAUAUCACCUUCGUUUGGAAGUCUUGUCAGUUUAGCAACUAAGGAACGGUGGAUGGGGUGGAGUCAUCUUUCAUCCAGAACAGAGGGUUUCCCUUUGAUCAUUUUCUCACAUCAAAGAUUAAUUCAUGUGCUCUGUGGAGAUGACAAAUGAACGAAUUGCUGCGGGUGAACUUACUAUAUCUCUCUUAUCGACAUCGGCAGCUGUAACGGUGGUAAACUUAGUAUUUUUCCUGCUUUCAUUGAUAUGGCCUUGAUAUUCUUCAUGCUAUUUUUGUUAGUAUUAUGUGCGUGGACUUGAAAAGAAUACACACUUUCAUCAUUUCUGAAUCAGCGUAAGUUACUGAUAUGAUCACGUGUCAAUCGUAUUUUACCAUAUUUCUUCCAUUGUAUUCAAGAUUAUUAAUUUCCACUUGUUAUGUAUGCUUGUAUGCAUUUAAAUUUAUUGUGGAAAGGACUAGCCACAUAUUUAUGUAAUUUUUACAUGUUUUAAUUAUAAGCUUCGAAAGGCAUAUCAUUAAAUGUUGUUGUAUUAAACAUCACUAGACAAGUUAUGGUAAUCUGCACAAUUGCAUAUCUACCGUCAUAAUUUUUCUGGUAUCCGGAGGUGUAUGCUAGAUUGGUUGCUGCAUGUCAGUAGGGAAAUUCUUACUGAUUUCUUAUGUGUGUUUGAUCCCUACCACUAAUGUAUGCUUUCUAAGAUGUUGUAUCUUUGAAUCAACUCAUUCUAUAGUAUAUGUUUCUUCAUUACUGUACACAAUUCUUGUGCUAGAUAUUGUUAUUCUGUUAGCACUGUAGCAACACCUUACGCCAGUUGUUUUGUGCAGAGAAAUCCGUUAAAACGAUUGAUGAUGAGACUUGGAAUGAGCAUUGUCCCGGCCAAUAAUUACAAUUAUGGAAAUGCAUCGGCAAGCAUGUGAGUUCUUCCUGCCUGGUUGCACUCACAUUGUUUCACUUGCUGAUUAUAGAGCCUACUACUUACGUAUAUUUAAGUUCCUUCCAGCUCCAGUUCUCUAUCAUGAGGUUACUUCACGUAACAUAAUAUUUUUUUUCUACCUUGAGUACUUGUUGGUUAAAAUAAUAGUGGCUCGUGAAGUUAACUAUAUUUGUAUUUCACGUCGAGGGGGACAGUUAAUAUAAUUUUGUUUUGAGAGUGACAAGAGUUAACGAAUCUUCGACACUUGUGGUUGCAUUUUGUUGUGAUGCAGUGUUGUAGCUAAAUGAUUUGUGUAGCCAGUAAUGGGUUCAGAUUUAGAAGAAUCUCGUUGAUGUUGUGCCCUUCUGGUACCAAUCCAAUGAUAUGUGUUCACUGGAUGAUUGUUCUCACAUGCUGAGCUAUGCAAUCUAAAUGGCCACCUUCUCCAAAAUUCAUGCUGCCAGAUACUCAUGUCUUUAAUUUGUGCACACACAUUGUUCAAAAACUUGGAAUGAAAGCCAAAACAGGGUCAUGCAUAUAUACUAUAUAG